AUAGCCGAUUAUGCAAGCGGUGGAUUGACUGUGUGUUGAGAAGGAAUUCUCUCCAGCCGUGGCGUGAUAUUGUUCCAACCAACUCUACGGUGGAGAAGAACGGAGGAAGGCCACACUGUCUUUCCAGGACGUGAGAUAGCC